GAGCCAGGGACUGAAUCAGAGCCACAGCUGAGACCUAUAUCGCAGCUGUGGCAAUGCCGGAUCCUUUAACCCACUGGGCUGGACCAGGGAUCGAACCCGCACUUCCACGGCAACCUAAGCCACUGCAGUCAGAUUCUUAAUCCACUGCGCCAUAGCGGGAACUCCUGGAAGGUCCCUCCCUGCUCUGAAGGAGGCCCUUGGGCCUCACCAAUUACAUAAAUGAAGAGUGCCCCUCCACGAGGCAAGCUGAUAAAUGCAGCCCCUGACCAACAGCUGCUGCCUGGAGGCAAGGGAGCAGAAACACACAGAGGAAAGAUGGCACAUCCAAGUCCCCUAGGUCCCCAGAGGUCAGGAUCAAACAGAAUGUGUCAGAUCACUCUCUUAUAGGGACUAGGGGCAGGAGGCCGACUUAGUCUAAGAAAAAAUCAUCUAACUUGCAUCCCAUAAGCCUAGCUUCUCAUAUUAAGACUAACGUGCUUGUCAAACUUUAAAAACAACAAAAAAGUGUGACUGAUUCAUAACAACCCAGCAAAAUACUGGAGUCAGAACAAGAGCAAGUCAUUGUGAUGCCAACUCCAAAGGGGAGGUUUCUGUCUUUAUGUCCUAACUGGCAACGACAAGCUUUUCACAAAACCCAGGCAAGCUGCAAGGCACUGAUAAAGGUGACAGCCAGCUCUGCCACUUGAACAGAGACAGGCCCAGAUAGGAGAGGCCAUCCGAGUGAUCUCUUGGACCCAGGAAAGCCUCACGGCUUUGAAGGGGAUGCCUAGGCCGAAUGAGGGAGGUACUCGGGGCCGCUGCUGAGAUGGAGGUGGGUCAGCGCCAGACUCUUCCCAGAAACAAAGGCUCAAAUUCAAAUACAAGGAAAAAUCGACAGUCACAGCAUCAUGACCAGCUCAUUAACCUCUGGGCGGGAGCUUUCCCACAGUUCAGAACCAGCCCCCUCCAGGGGCAAGGAUGUAUGUCUUCCCAGACCAGCUGGGGACCUCCUCCCGAACCUGCCUGCACCUGCCCCCCAUACCUGUUCCAGCAGGUUCUGGUCCCCCACUUCAUUUCUCCUCUUUUCCUCCCUUCGGCCCCUCUCUCCCUACCCCCCACCCCCUCCUUGUUCAGCCUUAAGGGAGGCAGGGGGCUGUAAGAGCCCCAGGUUCCAGGUAAAGAGGGUCAUGUUCAAAGGAGUCAAGAUCAGCCCAAGGUUACAAAGUCAAGCCAAGAAUCCCACUCCCACUCACAACCUCCACUCUGUUUCUUCUACUGUCGUCGACACACACUAUGUCCUGCCAAGGCUGCCUGCGUCAUCACCCCUCACCCCACACCCGCACACACCAGUGUGUCAACACACGCAUGCUAUCCAGCCCCCUGCCAAUCUACAGCACCACUCAGCCUUUG
rnacentral:lncRNA from 1 species